CAAAGGGUGGCGUAUGAGUUGUGGAUCAUGAGUACAUGUCUGGAAGUCUGAGAU
rnacentral:snoRNA from 1 species